rnacentral:rRNA from 1 species
AGAGUUUGAUCAUGGCUCAGGACGAACGCUGGCGGCGUGCCUAAUACAUGCAAGUAGAACGCUGAAGUCUGGUGCUUGCACCGGAUGGAUGAGUUGCGAACGGGUGAGUAACGCGUAGGUAACCUACCUCAUAGCGGGGGAUAACUAUUGGAAACGAUAGCUAAUACCGCAUAACAGUCUUUAGCUCAUGUUAGAGGCUUGAAAGGGGCAAUUGCUUCACUAUGAGAUGGACCUGCGUUGUAUUAGCCAGUUGGUGAGGUAACGGCUCACCAAGGCGACGAUACAUAGCCGACCUGAGAGGGUGAUCGGCCACACUGGGACUGAGACACGGCCCAGACUCCUACGGGAGGCAGCAGUAGGGAAUCUUCGGCAAUGGGGGCAACCCUGACCGAGCAACGCCGCGUGAGUGAAGAAGGUUUUCGGAUCGUAAAGCUCUGUUGUAAGAGAAGCACGUGUGUGAGAGUGGAAAGUUCACACAGUGACGGUAUCUUACCAGAAAGGGACGGCUAACUACGUGCCAGCAGCCGCGGUAAUACGUAGGUCCCGAGCGUUGUCCGGAUUUAUUGGGCGUAAAGCGAGCGCAGGCGGUUUGAUAAGUCUGAAGUUAAAGGCUGUGGCUCAACCAUAGUACGCUUUGGAAACUGUCAAACUUGAGUGCAGAAGGGGAGAGUGGAAUUCCAUGUGUAGCGGUGAAAUGCGUAGAUAUAUGGAGGAACACCGGUGGCGAAAGCGGCUCUCUGGUCUGUAACUGACGCUGAGGCUCGAAAGCGUGGGUAGCGAACAGGAUUAGAUACCCUGGUAGUCCACGCCGUAAACGAUGAGUGCUAGGUGUUAGGCCCUUUCCGGGGCUUAGUGCCGCAGCU